GUGCUCAUUUUAGCAGCACAUAUACUAAAAUUGAAAUGACACAGAGAUUAGCGUGGCCCUUGCACAAAGAUGACAUUCAAAUUCAUGAAGCGUUCCGUAUUAUU